UAAAGUUUUUUGUGUUGAUACUUUAUUUUGGAAGGCUUUUUAACUAUGAGACCACAAGGAAGUGGCUUUUGUGUAUGUACCAUUCCAAAUUUAUUCAUUAGUUUGAAUCUAUUCAGUGAUGAUUAUGUAUGAACUAAUUGUAGUUGGAUUAAAAUAGAUGUUUUAGCCAAAUUGUUCUUCGUAGGGUUCAUGGUUUUUGUAGCAUGAUGUCUGAAUUAAUGGUGAAUGAUUAAACAACUCAUGGUUUUUGUUGUUGAUUCCAUUAAAGUGGUGCUUCUUUAGGGCUUUAUGUAGAAAGAAUGGAAGCUGACCUGAUUCUUCGAUGGUGUUUAUCCCGACAUCUUGUUUAUUUUCUUGGUUUCUUAAGAUCAUCUUUUCUGAACAUUGGGUGAGAAGCUAGAAGAGAAUGGUACUGCGAAUAUUCAGGACAAAAGAGAAUAUAUGAGAAGCUAGAAGAGAAUGGUACUGCAUAUUGGGUGAAGAAGACUGCAUAUGCCUAUACUGGUUGAAUGUAGUGGUUAUCAAUCAUCCAUUUUUUUUGAAGUGCAACCCUCAUGCUCUGGCCUGUAGCAAGAAUAUAUAUAUGUGGAGCUAGGCUAAGAUUCUGAUAUUGCUGCCUUUUGAACUGCAGUACAAAUGCUCUCGUCCAUGGCAGGAAUAUAUAUGGAGCUAGGCCAAUAUUCAGAUAUUGAUGUCCAGGUCCCUGAGUUGUUUAAUGUUGAUUUUGCUCAGGCACGAUCCAUCUUAGGGAUCAACGAGAGGUGGCUCAAGCGAUACGGGAUGGUGACGAGCAGCGGCGACCACAGCAGACAGUGCAGCAAACUGGACAUGCUUUAGAAAUGGUGGUCAAGACAACACGUCUUGGGGAGUGGUGCGCCUGUCAAGCGACAGCGUCUGAUUCCGGCACAACAAGCUGAGCUUUUCCCAAAUCCUCUUUCUUUCUAUCUUUGUCUCUUUCCAUCAAGCUUGUGCGAUGUGCUAUACUUUCUCAUCUUUUAUUAGAUAAUUGUUGGCACUUUCAAGGACACAUUACACCUCCCUGUGGAAUUACUUGAUAUGUUGUGCAGCGUGAGAUCCAUUACACCCCAUGUGUACCCAUUACACUUUCAAGGGCUGCAUAUAGUGUUGUGAGCCUUCCCAGUGGCCUCCUUUUUAGUCUAUUGAUUUGAGGCUAUUGCUACCUACCGUGUAGUUUCAUGCAUAUGCUCUGACUUGUUCAAGACUUCUUUUUUCUUAUAUUGUUUUCAGCACUAUCACUCAAGUCUUAGGAUUUGACGACAUUAUUUCUAGCUGUUAGAUUGUACAACAUCUUUGUUAUGGAUUGUGAUACCCACACAAUACUGGAUUCAGUACACUAGCAACUACUCUUUUUGUCAUCUAUUAUGAUUUAGUUGAGAGUGAGGUCAACAUAUAUGCUGGAAAAGGACAACUUUGCAUGUAUUAACUUCUGGACUAUUGUAAUGUGCGUCAUCAGCCAGAGAAGGCGGGGAUCUGUGGAUGCCAAUGAGGGAAGCAGCCUGGCUCGGGCCGACCAUGGCGCUAGCGUUGCAGACUCGCCGCCAUCCUCCUUCGUCUCCCAUCCACAGCUGGCCCCAACCCUUCCUCUGAUGUGGUGCUAUGAGAGCAAGAAAAAGAGCAGACAUGCUCUGUAUCUACAUCCAACAUCCACACAGCCAGAUAAUGGUACUGCUCUAAAUAAUUCCUUUUGUUUAGAGCAAGGGUGAUGCAUGUAACCAUGUUACCUUAAAUUAUCUUCCUGUGUUAAUUGAAAAAAUUAUGUUCCCUGCUUACAUUUUCAAUGCAAACUUCUUGGUGGUUUGUCCAUUCCGCUGUUUGAAAAUUCAAAGCACUCCAUAUUAAUGCAUUCUGUAUCUUCUGAUGUGUUGGCUAUUAAACUAAGCAAUGACAUAUGUACUACACAUGCUUCUGGCAUAGUGUGAUUAAAACAUAGGUUAAUGCCGUACUUUUUUUUCGAAGAUUAGUCAUGCUAUUUUUGAUAGGUCUGUAUCUACAACUGGUACCGAUUUUUUUCCACAUUUUCAUUCUCCUGCCUUGUAAAGUGCUCUCUAUGUUAGUUAGGCAUAAAGUAGAUGCCCAAGAUAUAUUUAGAACAUGUUUGGUAAUGUGCAAUGUCUCCAUUCCAGGUUA